CAUGCAAGUCGAGCGGAUGAAGGGAGCUUGCUCCUGGAUUCAGCGGCGGACGGGUGAGUAAUGCCUAGGAAUCUGCCUGGUAGUGGGGGAUAACGUCCGGAAACGGGCGCUAAUACCGCAUACGUCCUGAGGGAGAAAGUGGGGGAUCUUCGGACCUCACGCUAUCAGAUGAGCCUAGGUCGGAUUAGCUAGUUGGUGGGGUAAAGGCCUACCAAGGCGACGAUCCGUAACUGGUCUGAGAGGAUGAUCAGUCACACUGGAACUGAGACACGGUCCAGACUCCUACGGGAGGCAGCAGUGGGGAAUAUUGGACAAUGGGCGAAAGCCUGAUCCAGCCAUGCCGCGUGUGUGAAGAAGGUCUUCGGAUUGUAAAGCACUUUAAGUUGGGAGGAAGGGCAGUAAGUUAAUACCUUGCUGUUUUGACGUUACCAACAGAAUAAGCACCGGCUAACUUCGUGCCAGCAGCCGCGGUAAUACGAAGGGUGCAAGCGUUAAUCGGAAUUACUGGGCGUAAAGCGCGCGUAGGUGGUUCAGCAAGUUGGAUGUGAAAUCCCCGGGCUCAACCUGGGAACUGCAUCCAAAACUACUGAGCUAGAGUACGGUAGAGGGUGGUGGAAUUUCCUGUGUAGCGGUGAAAUGCGUAGAUAUAGGAAGGAACACCAGUGGCGAAGGCGACCACCUGGACUGAUACUGACACUGAGGUGCGAAAGCGUGGGGAG
rnacentral:rRNA from 1 species